rnacentral:rRNA from 1 species
GACGAAUGCUGGCUGCAGGCCUAACACAUGCAAGUCGAACGGACCCUUCGGGGUUAGUGGCGGACGGGUGAGUAACACGUGGGAACGUGCCUUUAGGGUCGGAAUAGCUCCUGGAAACGGGUGGUAAUGCCGAAUGUGCCCUUCGGGGGAAAGAUUUAUCGCCUUUAGAGCGGCCCGCGUCUGAUUAGCUAGUUGGUGAGGUAAGGGCGCACCAAGGCGACGAUCAGUAGCUGGUCUGAGAGGAUGACCAGCCACAUUGGGACGGAGACACGGCCCAAACUCCUACGGGAGGCAGCAGUGGGGAAUCUUGCGCAAUGGGCGAAAGCCUGACGCAGCCAUGCCGCGUGGAUGAUGAAGGUCUUAGGAUUGUAAAAUCCUUUCACCGGUGAAGAUAAUGACUGUAGCCGGAGAAGAAGCCCCGGCUAACUUCGUGCCAGCCGCCGCAGUAAUAC